rnacentral:lncRNA from 1 species
CUAAAAGAAAGAAAAUGUAAAUGCUUUUGAAAGAAAUUGAGCUUCAAAUGAAUCAUUUUCUGAUUAAUAUUUCUAUACAUUUUCUCUAAGAUUAAGAGAAAGCAUAACUUGCUCUUGAAGGAUUAGAAAGAGUAAUUGCUACAAAUUUUGAAUAAUACUAGAUUACUCUACAUUCUCGAUAUCAUAGAAUUUCAGUUUUAUUCAUGCUUAUCACUAAAAUCUGAAAUUCAACAAUAGAAAAGAAUGAUUAAAGAAGAAUGCAUCUUUUGAGGGGGAGCUUUAGAUAUUCAGUAUCUCAUACCUUGAUUUUUAUGGAUUGAUUUUGAUGAACCUCCUUAUAUUGCAAGACUUGCUUUAAUUAUAUAAUAAGUUUAUACCUUGAGAUGAGUUCUAUAAAGGUUGUUUUAUCUCAAA